GGUAACAGGAAGAAGCUUGCUUCUUUGCUGACGAGUGGCGGACGGGUGAGUAAUGUCUGGGAAACUGCCUGAUGGAGGGGGAUAACUACUGGAAACGGUAGCUAAUACCGCAUAACGUCGCAAGACCAAAAAGGGGGACCUUCGGGCCUCUUGCCAUCGGAUGUGCCCAGAUGGGAUUAGCUAGUAGGUGGGGUAACGGCUCACCUAGGCGACGAUCCCUAGCUGGUCUGAGAGGAUGACCAGCCACACUGGAACUGAGACACGGUCCAGACUCCUACGGGAGGCAGCAGUGGGGAAUAUUGCACAAUGGGCGCAAGCCUGAUGCAGCCAUGCCGCGUGUAUGAAGAAGGCCUUCGGGUUGUAAAGUACUUUCAGCGGGGAGGAAGGGAGUAAAGUUAAUACCUUUGCUCAUUGACGUUACCCGCAGAAGAAGCACCGGCUAACUCCGUGCCAGCAGCCGCGGUAAUACGGAGGGUGCAAGCGUUAAUCGGAAUUACUGGGCGUAAAGCGCACGCAGGCGGUUUGUUAAGUCAGAUGUGAAAUCCCCGGGCUCAACCUGGGAACUGCAUGUGAUACUGGCAAGCUUGAGUCUCGUAGAGGGGGGUAGAAUUCCAGGUGUAGCGGUGACAUGCGUAGAGAUCUGGAGGAAUAC
rnacentral:rRNA from 1 species